CCUACGGGGGGCAGCAGUGGGGGAUAUUGCACAAUGGGGGAAACCCUGAUGCAGCGACGCCGCGUGAGUGAAGAAGUAUUUCGGUACGUAAAGCUCUCUCAGCAGGGAAGAAUAAUGACGGUACCUGACUAAGAAGCCCCGGCUAACUACGUGCCAGCAGCCGCGGUAAUACGUAGGGCGCAAGCGUUAUCCGGAUUUACUGGGUGUAAAGGGAGCGUAGACGGCAGAGCAAGUCUGAAGUGAAAGCC
rnacentral:rRNA from 1 species